GCCUCGGCGUUUCCACCCAGUGGUUCUGAAGGGGGUUCUUGGGCGUUUCAGCGUCGGCACCGGGGUCCCGGACGGCCGGUUCAGGAUGCUCCUAGUCCUGGGAAGCUUAUCUCAGCUUCAUGUUUCUCCGAUGGGAUGACCUGACGCUCUUUUUCUCCGUCCACAUGGACCUGCAGACCCACCAGAGGGUUCAAUCAAUAUGUAUGUAUGGUCAUACACAGCUGCCUCCUGCCUCCCCUCUCCCUUGGACCCACCCAAGCCUUUCUGGGCCUUCCUUAUGGGGAGUCUCCCACUGGCCUUUUCUCCCUCAUGGUGGAUCUCCCUCCAGCAAAAGGUGCCGACGUCACCUUCUUGAAUGCCCCAAUACCACCUCUCUUAGCACUAGCGGAUUCCUAGUGGCUCUCACUGCCUCCUUUGUAACCUAUCCCCAAUAAAGGGACAGUACAGUA